rnacentral:rRNA from 1 species
GACGAACGCUGGCGGCGUGCCUAAUACAUGCCAGUCGAACGAGAGCGACCGGUGCUUGCACUGGUCAAUCUAGUGGCGAACGGGUGAGUAACACGUGGGUAACCUGCCCAUCAGAGGGGGAUAACAUCCGGAAACGGAUGCUAAAACCGCAUAGGUCUUCGAACCGCAUGGUUUGAAGAGGAAAAGAGGCGCAAGCUUCUGCUGAUGGAUGGACCCGCGGUGCAUUAGCUAGUUGGUGAGGUAACGGCUCACCAAGGCCGUGAUGCAUAGCCGACCUGAGAGGGUGAUCGGCCACAUUGGGACUGAGACACGGCCCAAACUCCUACGGGGGGCAGCAGUAGGGAAUCUUCCGCAAUGGACGCAAGUCUGACGGAGCAACGCCGCGUGAGUGAAGAAGGUUUUCGGAUCGUAAAACUCUGUUGUUAGAGAAGAACAAGUGCUAGAGUAACUGUUAGCGCCUUGACGGUAUCUAACCAGAAAGCCACGGCUAACUACGUG